CAGCCUGUUCCAAUGCCCGACCACUCUUUGGGUGAAAAAUUCCUUCCUAAUGUUCAAUCUAAACCCACCCUGUUGGAGCUUGAAGCCGUUCCCUCUCGUUCUAUUGUUAAUUACCUGUGUCUCUGAUCUCCAAACCCCUGAGCCCUGAGCAGGACAGAGGGGUGGGGAGCAGAGUGGCCACAGCCUGUGGCCAAGGCAGGGACCUGCCACCCUUGGGGGACGCAUUUGGAGUCCCAGGGCUGGUGGCCAAGCAGAGGGAGGUGGUACCUGUGCUGGCUCAGCCAGAGCUGCUGCAGCCCUGGCCCUGGCACCUCUGGAACAUCUGCUGGGCCUCAGAGCCAGCCCAG
rnacentral:lncRNA from 1 species